CCUGGAGAGGAAAGUUCUGGAAGAUAAAUUCCACAAUCAGGACUCAGGAAGAUCAGGAUCCAGGCCAGAUGUGCAUGCCGGCAGGCACGUCACUCCUCUUAUAUCUAGAGGUCUGCUACAUGUAACUGCGCUCCAGUCAUCACCGCCUGCAUCUUACCUUAUUCUGAACGUCUAUGUACUGGAAAUCAUAAUCGGAAUGUUCUGGAGUGGACCAGCUGCCUAAUCCUGACUCCAUCAGUUGGCUGUGGCCAGAGGACAAGCGUCCAGCUGGAGAAGAUUUCUUUUAGUCUAAAUGGAGGCCACCUGCUUUGUGGAUUGCUUUCCGUUCUGGUUGUGGAAGAAUGGGUUUGACUUAUCCUAUUCCAGAAACUUCCUCAUGUUGCCAUCACAUCAACUGUUUUGCAAUGAGAAGGAGCAGUGCCUGCUGAGGAAGGCUAGCCACCUUCAAGAGAAGUGGUGGAUGAUCACAUUUUCGGAUUUUGCCCUCAAACUUGCUGCCUUGGAAACGUAAUUGUUCAUGUCUGUGGAGUCCCUCGCCGAGUUGCAGAAACAGCCAGGAACACAGCAAAGUAAAAGCUGUAUGUUUACAGGUCAGCUCGCACAGGACCAAAGGAUACACGGUUCUCAUGCAGGAAAGGCUGCAGCCAACACCUGGUGAUGAAUGCCGCUCUUCGAUGCUCGCCGACGCGCUCUAUCCUGACAGCGAGACCUGUGCGGAGUCAGCUUGCUGUGGACUCCACUGCCUCGUCCAUUGUGCAGGGAGGUCAGCUAGCUGCACCCCACGUGACGGGGUAAGGAGAGAACUCCAAGUUGAAGUGCACACCAGCGCCCUGUAGCUGCAGCGGUAAUGGAACAAUAACGAACAUUAAUGAGACCUGUAGCUGCAGCUUUGUAAAUGGGCACCGACAGGAGGCGAGUAACAAUUCCCGCUGGGCCAGCGGUCGGCUCCUGUGACUGACUCAUCUGAGCGUUCUUCUAGAAUGCCUUCUCAGGUUGGGGUAUUCCAGAAGUUUCUCCAAGGGCCAGACUGGAAACCACGCUCUAAAUGACAGUGCCGAGUCUCACUGCAGGGACGGAGGGCCUGGGCUCUGCCUGGCUCCUUGGGGAAAAGAUUCUGUCAGGAUCACAGGCAGUUCCUUUGGGAAUGGUAGGAAAGGCGGCCAGAUUCAAAUGCAGAGGAAAGGCAGAGAGCAGCUGCAAACAAAAUCUUCUAAUUGCAUCUCUACAAAGGGCACGGAAAGCCACCUAAUGAAAAAACUGAGGUCAAGUGAGGUGAAGACAUUUAGUCAAGGUCCUAAAACUUGUUUGUCAGUGUUGGGAGACAGAAGUCCUGGCUCUGGCAGUGACUGUCACCAAGGCGACCGCGGAGGGCCUGGACCAGCUUCUGAGGGAGCACGGCUCGGCGGGGUGGGCAGACACUCUGGGAUGGCACAGCCUGCCUAGCAGUUAAACUGACUAUAAAUGAUAGGCUGCCAGAGAAAGGACAUGAACGUGUCCAGGUGAGACGACAGCCAGAAAUCUAUCAAGGCUAAUAGCAGCGAGGGGAGUGAAACACAAGACCUGAGCGUCGCUCCCCAAAUCCAGGCAGAAGCAUCGACCGCCUUCACUGACUUAAAAGUGAACAAACGCACAUAACUUCUGGAAGUGCGUUGCUGUCUGGAAAACCCACAUCCCUUCUCCUCAGUGCUUGCCAAUGAUUGUGGACGAGGUCAAAUCCUCUCGCGGUUACAGACUUUCAUGACAUGGUGAAUCUCGCUUUGGCAGCAGCUGUCACAGUUACAGUUGUGGAUUUGUUGUCCAGUUUAUUCGAUUAAUAUGGAUCUCUGUCCCAGGAGACUAGGACAGUAGCUGUUUUUACAUACUGUUGUGUUAUUCUUCCUUAGCAUGUGCCUGCACACAGUAGGCACUUAGUUUUAACAAAUAAGUGAAUAAAGAAAUGAAAAAAAGAACCAUUUUAGAGAGAAAGUCACACAGCGCAUUGUUUUGCGGGCAGUGCCGGUCAGACUGGUCAGGGCGGAGCCCGAGUCCUCACUCACCAGCAAGUGAGGCCGGUAGAACAGGGUGGGUGGCUGGAUAGCUACGUGGUACAAUAUGGAUGACUCUUGAAAAGGUGCUCAGUGGAGGGAUCUAGACACAAAGGCUACCCAGGGAAUGAUUACUUGUAUAUGAUACAUCUGGAAGAGGCAAAUCCAUAAAGAGAGAAAGCAGAGGGGUGGUUGCCCAGGGCUGGGGGGAGGGGAAAUGAGGACUAAAUGUUAUUGGACUCCAGUUUACUUCUGGAGUGAUGGAAAUGUUCUGAAACUAGAUAAUGCUCAUGGUUGCCCAUAUCUGUAAAUACAGCAAAGGACACUGUGUACUUUUAAAUUUUGUGGACUGAUCCCAAUAAAGCUUUUAUUAAAAUAUGAGCAGAAAAAAACCUCAGGUGAAAACAACAAGAACUCACGCCUGCGUGUGUUACUGAUACUACGUUCUGAGAUUAGCUGGAACUGACAGACAUGUAAUGCUUUAAGGUAAGCCAUUUUUUAUAUCAUAGAAUUUAUACAGAAAAGUCACUGUUAGAUUUUUUUUCUCAAUAUUUACUCCUGAUGGAAUGAGCCACUUAGAACAAUUACCAGAUAGGACUACGAAUUACAAUCACACAGGAUUCUAAUGCUUAAGCAUUUUUAUGAGGAAAUAUUUCAUAUCUGAAUUCAGAGGAGCACAUAUGCCACACACAUGUGUUACCAGGUUAGGGAUUUGUUAUGCCUAGU